CAGCCCUCCCCAGUUCCCAGCAGCGCGGCAGCGCCGGAAAGGAGGCGAGCGAGGCCUGCGCUUUGCGGCUGCGUCGUGCCUGGCGCCGGUGAGCCCGCGCCAUGGCGGACAUGGAGGACCUGUUCGGGAGCGAUGUCGACUCCGAGCCCGAGCAGAAAGAUUCUGACUCUGGAUCUGACUCUGACUCUGAUCAGGAGAAUGCUGGCUCUGGCAGUAAUGUUUCUGGAAGUGAGAGUGACAGAGAUGAUGACAGAGAGGCAGUAAAGCCCAGUAAUAAAGAAUUAUUUGGAGAUGAUAGUGAGGAUGAGGGAGCAUCUCACCAUACUGGGAGUGACAUUCGGUCUGAAAGAUCGUACAAUCACUCUGAAGCUUCGGGACAUUCUGAGCAUGAAGAUAAUGACCAGUCAGAUAUAGAUCAGCAUAGUGGUUCAGAAGCUGCUGAUGACGAUGAUGACAGAGGACACGGAUCAGAUGAAGGUAGCCGUCGCUCAGAUGCAGAUGGAUCUGAAAAAGCAAAUUCGGAGGAUGAAAAAUGGGGCAAAGAGGACAAAAGUGAUCAGUCAGAUGAUGAUGAGAAGCUCCAGAAUUCUGAUGAUGAGGAAAGGCCGCAAAUCUCUGAUGAUGAAGAGAAGGUUCAGAACUCUGAUGAUGAUGAAAGGCCUCAGAUUUCUGAUGAUGAGGAAAGACUACAAAACUCCGAUGAGGAGAAAAUGCAGAACUCAGAUGAUGAAGAGAGGCCUCAGAUCUCUGAUGAGGAGAAGAUGCAGAAUUCUGAUGAUGACGAAAGGGCCCAGCAUUCUGAUGAGGAGAAGAUGCAGAAUUCUGAUGAUGACGAAAGGGCCCAGCAUUCUGAUGAGGAGAAGAUGCAGAAUUCUGAUGAUGACGAAAGGGCCCAGCAUUCUGAUGAAGAUCACAGGCGUUCAGAUGAUGAUGAGGAACAGGAGCAUAAAUCUGAGUCUGCAAGAGGCAGUGACAGUGAAGAUGAAAUUUUGCGAAUGAAACGUAAAAAACCAAUUGCAUCAGAUUCAGAAAUGGACAGCGAUGCAGAAGGACAAAAAGAUCACAGAGAUUCGAUAGAUCUGUUUGGAGGUGCAGAUGACAUUUCUUCAGGGAGUGAUGGGGAAGACAAGCCACCAACUCCAGGGCAACCUAUUGAUGAGAAUGGACUGAAUCAAGAGCAGCAGGAAGAAGAACCUAUUCCAGAAACGCGAAUAGAAGUAGAGAUACCAAAAGUAAACACUGACUUAGGAAAUGACUUGUAUUUUGUGAAGCUGCCCAACUUCCUCAGUGUGGAGCCCAGACCUUUUGAUCCUCAGUAUUAUGAGGAUGAAUUUGAAGAUGAGGAGAUGCUUGAUGAAGAAGGUAGAACCAGGUUAAAACUAAAGGUGGAAAACACCAUACGUUGGCGAAUGCGACGAGAUGAAGAAGGAAAUGAGAUUCGAGAAAGCAAUGCACGGAUAGUCAAGUGGUCAGAUGGAAGCAUGUCGCUGCAUUUGGGCAAUGAAGUCUUUGAUGUGUACAAGGCACCAUUACAAGGAGAUCACAACCAUCUGUUUAUCAGACAAGGAACUGGUCUACAGGGCCAGGCUGUGUUCAAGACUAAAUUAACCUUCAGGCCUCACUCUACGGACAGCGCCACCCACAGGAAGAUGACUUUGUCUCUUGCAGAUAGAUGUUCAAAGACCCAAAAAAUUCGUAUCUUGCCCAUGGCUGGCCGUGAUCCAGAGUCUCAGCGCACAGAAAUGAUUAAGAAAGAAGAGGAGAGGUUAAGAGCUUCUAUUCGCAGGGAAUCCCAGCAGCGGAGAAUGCGGGAGAAGCAGCAUCAGCGUGGGCUGAGUGCAAAUUAUUUAGAACCUGAUCGUUAUGAUGAGGAGGAUGAAGGAGAAGAGGCAAUCAGUCUGGCAGCUAUUAAAAACCGCUAUAAAGGUGGUAUAAGAGAGGAACGUGCUAGAAUCUAUUCUUCGGACAGUGAUGAGGGAUCAGAUGAAGACAGAACGCAGAGACUACUCAAGGCAAAGAAACUAACUAGUGAUGAGGAAGGUGAACCUUCUGGAAAGAGGAAAGCAGAGGAUGAUGACAAAGCAAGUAAAAAGCACAAGAAAUAUGUGAUCAGCGAUGAAGAGGAAGAUGAUGAUUAAAAUUGGGGAAAGAUGAAAGCUGAUGGCUUUUUAUAUAUAUAUUGUACAGUUCUUUUACAGCAAAGAUGAGAUUUGCCUGCUUGCAGUAUGUGACCAAAUAUUCAAUCAUUACUUUUGGCAAAGGAGUUGAUUUUAUUUGAAAGAGCCACAGAGUUACGUCAUACCACCAAAACAUCAUUCAUAAAUAUGUUUUAACCCAGAUAGUUGGCAUAUUACCUCCACCUGAAAGUACGAUGUCACCAUGGAGGCAAUAUUGGAGCUGCUCUGCAGUCCUAACAUAACUAUGGUUUGGUGUGGGGCCUGAACCCCCAGUUAAUUCCAAAGACCCAAAGGAAAUUUUGCAAGGAGAGCCUGUUACCAUUUCCUGUACCGAUGUUAGUCUUUCCUGUGUUGGAGACCAUCUGAUUUGUGUAUUGCUGGCUCAGUGGAAUUUUCUGACCAGCUAUAUUUCAAUCACCCACUAAACUGCUGCAGCCUCUCAAGGGCCAUGUAAAGACUGAAUAUCUGAAAUAAUAUGCUUCAUUUAAAGCCAUAGAUAUGUGCAGUGAUGUACAAAUCUCAUGCUCCUGGAACAGCAUAAUGUAUAGCUGGAUGUGUUGCAGCAAGCAUCAAAGCGAAAUGAUGUCUAGCCAUGUAUUGUUAUGGAGAGCCAAACUACUGUUUGCACCUUUGCACUACAGAUACCUUGUGAAACUCGGCAGCCCUGUGCUGUACCCUUUGUGAAGCUGGUAUGGUGACAACUGGAGCAAUUCCUGCUUUGCUGCAUAGAAAUCUUAGAAUGGCUUUAAGGUGUGAGGUUGGUGAAACUGCAAGAAGGAGCUGCAGAAAAAGAUUUUUAUUGCUGAAUUUAGAAAAGUAAUUAGAAUCAAAAGCUGAGCAUAAAUUGCUUGUUAAAGAGACUUUGUUUUGCAUAAUUAAAUUGUCACAUGACAGUU